ACUAGAAUGAAUGGUUAUAUGAAGACUAAACUGUCUCUUGCAGCCCGCCUAUGAAACUGAUCUCUUAGUUAAAAAGCUAAGAUUUUUCCACAAGACGAGAAGACCCUGUGGAGCUUCAAACCAAACUCAUAAUAUGACCCACCGGUUUUUAGUUGGGGCGACUUCGGAGAACAAAAAAUCCUCCGACCAACAACAAUAGAUCAACACAUCAAAGUACAACCAGACCCAGUAGCAUUAUUACUAACUGAUUAACGAACCAAGUUACCCCAGGGAUAACAGCGCCAUCCUCUUCUAGAGUCCCUAUCGACAAGAGGGAUUACGACCUCGAUGUUGGAUCAGGACACCCCUAUAGUGCAACCGCUAUAAACG
rnacentral:rRNA from 1 species